rnacentral:ncRNA from 2 species
GACGAGGGAUCCUAGCGUUGCUCGGAAUCAUUGGGCGUAAAGCGGGUGUAGGUGGCUUUGUAAGUCAGAUGUGAAAGCCCAGGGCUCAACCCUGGAAGUGCAUUUGAAACUGCGAAGCUUGAGUGCUAGAGAGGUUAAUAGAAUACCUGGUGUAGUGGUGAAAUACGUAGAUAUCAGGUGGAACACCGGAGGCGAAGGCGGUUAACUGGCUAGACACUGACACUGAGACCCGAAAGUGCGGGGAUCAAACAGG